rnacentral:rRNA from 1 species
AUUGAACGCUGGCGGCAUGCUUUGCACAUGCAAGUCGAACGGUAACAGGGAGCUUGCUCCGCUGACGAGUGGCGAACGGGUGAGUAAUGCGUCGGAACGUGCCGAGUAGUGGGGGAUAACGCAGCGAAAGUUGUGCUAAUACAGCAUACGUACUGAGGUAGAAAGUGGGGGACCUUCGGGCCUCACGCUAUUCGAGCGGCCGACGUCUGAUUAGCUAGUAGGUGAGGUAAAGGCUUACCUAGGCGACGAUCAGUAGCGGGUCUGAGAGGAUGAUCCGCCACACUGGGACUGAGACACGGCCCAGACUCCUACGGGAGGCAGCAGUGGGGAAUUUUGGACAAUGGGCGGAAGCCUGAUCCAGCCAUGCCGCGUGUCUGAAGAAGGCCUUCGGGUUGUAAAGGACUUUUGUCGGGGAGGAAAUCCCCAGCGCUAAUACCGCUGGGGGAUGACAGUACCUGAAGAAUAAGCACCGGCUAACUACGUGCCAGCCGCCGCGGUAACAC